rnacentral:rRNA from 1 species
AUUGAACGCUAGCGGGAUGCUUUACACAUGCAAGUCGAACGGCAGCGCGGACUUCGGUCUGGCGGCGAGUGGCGAACGGGUGAGUAAUGUAUCGGAACGUGCCCAGUAGCGGGGGAUAACUACGCGAAAGCGUAGCUAAUACCGCAUACGCCCUACGGGGGAAAGCAGGGGAUCGUAAGACCUUGCACUAUUGGAGCGGCCGAUAUCGGAUUAGCUAGUUGGUGAGGUAACGGCCCACCAAGGCGACGAUCCGUAGCUGGUUUGAGAGGACGACCAGCCACACUGGGACUGAGACACGGCCCAGACUCCUACGGGAGGCAGCAGUGGGGAAUUUUGGACAAUGGGCGCAACCCUGAUCCAGCCAUCCCGCGUGUGCGAUGAAGGCCUUCGGGUUGUAAAGCACUUUUGGCAGGGAAGAAACGUCGCGGGCUAAUACCCCGUGGAACUGACGGUACCUGCAGAAUAAGCACCGGCUAACUACGUG